rnacentral:lncRNA from 1 species
GUCAGCCACAUCCCUAAUGUUCUCUAAAAUAUGAAUGGCUGAAAAUUUUCCAAAUAUUUAAGUUCUAUCUUCUUUUGACUGACAAUUCCUUCUUUAAUUCAUUUCUCUCUUCUCACAUUUUACUAUGAGCAGAAAUGAGGAACCAAUCUGUUCUUUCAACAUUUGCUUAGAAAUCUCCUCAGCUAAAUAUCCAAUUUUAUUGCUCACAAGUUCUAACUUCUGAAAAACGCUAGCAUGUGAAUGCAAUUUGCCAAGUUAUUUGCCACUUUAGAACAAUAAUAAUCUUUUCUCCACUGUCCAAUAGCUUAUUCUUUAUUUCCACCUGAAACUUCAUGAGAAUGACCUGUCCAAUUCAUAUUUCUCCUAAUAUUUAUACAUGACUAUGUAUUCUCUAAGAAGAUGGAAUCUUCUUCUAUAGCGCUCCUUUUCUGUUUCUGAGCCUUCACCAGAGUAACCUUUAUCAGUGCCUUCAUGGCAAUAUUGACUUUUUCUAGCAUGCACCUCAAAAUUCCUCCAGCCUCUACACCUUACCCAGUUCCAAAGUCACUUCCACAUUUUUAGGUAUUUGUUACAGUAACACCCCACUUCUAUUACCAAUUUAUGUCUUAGGUCCAGCUGCUAUAACUGAAUACCAUAUACUAGGUAGCUUAAACAACAAACAUUUACUGAUCAGAGUUCUGGAGUUUAAGAAACCCAAAGGUCAAGGUGGCAGCAGGUUAGCUCUGGUGAGGGCCUUUUUACUUGCUUCUAUUUAUUGUGAUCCGCCCGCCUCAGACUCCCAAAGUGCUGGGAUUACAGGUGUAAGCCACUGCGCCGGGCAGGAGAGCUGUUUUUUUCAUCCCCUGAAAAGGGUAAUAAUCUCAUCAUGGGAACUCUAUACCCAUAAUCUCAUUCAGCUCUAAUUAUUUCCUAAAGACCUUAAUGCCAAAUAAAAUCAGAUUGGGGAUUAUAUCUUCAACAUAUGAAAUAUCAGAAUAUUUCAUAUUUCAACAUAAAUAUGAAAUAUUCAGUCCAUAGCAUCCCCCAAACUUUAUGCCUACCUAUAAACACAAAAUAUGACCUUAUUUGGAAAUAGAAUCUUUGCACAUGUAAUUAGUUAAGAUGAGGUCAUACUGAAUUAGGGUGAGCCCUAAAUUCAAUAACUGGUACCUCUGUAAGAAGAGGAAAGGACACACAGAGACACAAAGAUACACAAAAUUCAAGGCCAUAUUAGACAGAGACAGAGACUGUAAUAUUGUAGCUACAAGACAAAUAAUGUCAAGGAUUCCUGGGAGCUACUAGAAGCUAGGAAGAAUAAAGAAAGAUUAUUUUUUUCCUAGAGUCUUCAGAGGAAGCACAACCCUGCUAACAACAUUUGGACUUCUUCUUCUUCUUCUUCUUUUUUU